CAGAACAUUAAACCAUCAUAGACCACAACAGGUAAUACACCUGGGGGUUCAGACAGAACAUUAAACCAUCAUAGACCACAACAGGUAAUACACCUGGGGGUUCAGACAGAACAUUAAACCAUCAUAGACCACAACAGGUAAUACACCUGGGGGUUCAGACAGAACAUUAAACCAUCAUAGACCACAACAGGUAAUACACCUGGGGGUUCAGACAGAACAUUAAACCAUCAUAGACCACAACAGGUAAUACACCUGGGGGUUCAGACAGAACAUUAAACCAUCAUAGACCACAACAGGUAAUACACCUGGGGGUUCAGACAGAACAUUAAA